rnacentral:tRNA from 1 species
GUGGUGGCUCAGUGGUAGAGCACUUGCCUAGCAAGGGUGAGGCACUGGGUUCAAUUCUCAGCACCACA